rnacentral:rRNA from 1 species
CGGAGAUAGUGGCGGACGGGUGAGUAACGCGUGAGAAUCUAGCUCUAGGUCUAGGACAACCAUUGGAAACGGUGGCUAAUACUGGAUGUGCCGGGAGGUAAAAGGCUUGCUGCCUAGAGAAGAGCUUGCGUCAGAUUAGCUAGUAGGUGUGGUAAGAGCGCACCUAGGCGACGAUCUGUAGCUGGUCUGAGAGGACGAUCAGCCACACUGGAACUGAGACACGGUCCAGACUCCUACGGGAGGCAGCAGUGGGGAAUUUUCCGCAAUGGGCGAAAGCCUGACGGAGCAAUACCGCGUGAGGGAGGAAGGCUCUUGGGUUGUAAACCUCUUUUCUCUAGGAAGAUAAUGACGGUACUAGAGGAAUAAGCAUCGGCUAACUCCGUGCCAGCAGCCGCGGUAAUACGGAGGAUGCAAGCGUUAUCCGGAAUGAUUGGGCGUAAAGCGUCCGCAGGUGGUUUUAAAAGUCUGUUGUUAAAGCGUGAGGCUUAACCUCAUAAGGGCAAUGGAAACUAUAAGACUAGAGUACGUUCGGGGCAAGGGGAAUUCCCAGUGUAGCGGUGAAAUGCGUAGAGAUUGGGAAGAACACCGGUGGCGAAAGCGCCUUGCUAGGCCGUAACUGACACUGAGGGACGAAAGCUAGGGGAGCGAAUGGGAUUAGAUACCCCAGUAGUC